GCACGAGUCAGCGUUUGCUUUCUCGCUUUAGAAGGCGGAAGGAUAAUGGUCGAAGCUCGGAGACCUUGAUGUACCAGGAAAACAUGAAGCGCAAUUCAAAACCUCGGCUCAUGUUACCCCUCCCACCGGUGCUGGGUGUUCACCGCUGAAAAGGUGUUCGGAAGGCGGAAAAAGAGGAAGUGGGAAGAAGAGAGAAACGGGGAAGUGGUGGGAGGACCGGAAGAUCGUGGCCUCUCCUAGCUCAUAGUUGAGAGUGGUAAUCCUGAGCUUCUGUGUGGUGUGUCACAGCUGGCAAGCCGCUUUCCAGUCCUUUCCCUUGGUCUUCCCACCAACCUCUUGGUGGAGGAACAGCCCGGUCCACGUCUGUGGGGAGAACAAGACAGGCCUGGGCAGCGCCUCCACUAGAACUUUCUGCGUCCUCCUCCAGUGUUCCUCCCGCCCGGCAGGUAAGGGAGGGGACUGUGUGCUAAAAGGGGACAUGGUCUUCUGAUUGAUUGGAUGAGGGCAGACCUUUGUUUUCUUUUGUUUGGAAUGGUGUGAUUUGGGAGAGGAGCAUCUAUCAGUUUCCCUACAAAUAUCAAGUGGGCCUUCUAUGAAUAUUUUAAACACCAUAGGAUAGAGCAUUUUCCCAUUAUUGGUAUUGUUGGGGCUCAAAUCAUACCACUCCAACUCAUGACUGUAGGAGACCAGAAUACACCAUGCCAAAAUAUAUUUCUUUGGCAUAUUUUUGAGCUGAUCAUUCUGAGAAAUGGUAGAUACAGGAGUAGCUCUGAAAAGCUGUCCUUUUGUAAAAGAAAUCUACAUCAGUGAAAGUAUCUGUUGGGAAGACGGCUGCUCCGGACAGCUUGUAUUAGCCAAGAGACUUUAUCUGCAGCCCAGCCCAUAACUUGUCGCCACCUCACUCCUGAAUCCCCAAGUCCCUAUUCUUUCCUGUGGAUCAGGAUGCUACCCAUGCAAACCCGAAUCAUCUGUGGGACUCCUGUGUGUAUACAUGUAAUUAAAUAUGGUUUUCCUCCUGUUAAUCUAUCUUAUGUCAAUUUAAUUCACAGCACAACCAAAGAAACUGGAAGAGUGGAGGAAGCCAUUUUUUCCUCCCCUACUGUAUAAGGCAGUUGUCUGGAAAAAAAUAUGAGCAUCACUUAGAACAGAUGUUAAACUCAGAAAUUCUUUGGUAAACUGAUCAUGCAGAUUGUUGGAAACAUCCAGAUGUUUGAAAUGGUAUAGAAAACCUGUUACUCACAACAGCCUGCAAAAAGAGGACAUCAGACCAUGAUGUGAGAGGUGCCUUCUCUAUACCUGGAGGGAGGAACAUCCUUAUAUCUGAAGAUGUGAAGAAUGAGGGAUGCUGAGAGGAAUACGAACCAACAGGAGGAAGCCGAGGCUUAAUGAGGUCAAAGGAAUUGCCCAAGAUCACACCUAGGACGAAGGAGAGCUUCAAACCCAGACAGACCAGCUCUAUAGGUUCUUCACCAAGACCGGAACAGACAGCUAUGAUCAAGGUGACGGGUGCUAAGAUAGAAGUAAGUGGGGUGUUAUUGGAGUGCGCUUGGAAUGCGUGUCUAAGUCAUACCGUGGAGGAAGGGAUGAAGAAGGCUUCCUGGAGGAGGCGCUGUUUUCACAGAACAGCACGUGAGCAGGAGUUGGGGCUCGGAUAGGUGCUCAAGUGUGUUCCAGGCAGAAGCAGCCGUGUGUGCCUGUGCUCAGGGGCGCAUGCACACUCCUCAUCUCUGAGGAUAAUCAGCUAGAAGGAAGGACUGACACAGGACCCGCACUUUCCACCUCUCACAAAGGCCGGCUCCAAAAAAAUGAUUUUUGAAAGGAUGGUGAAAAGGGCUACCGUUCUUGAAGUGCUGAUGAUCGAUGGUGAGGUAAUUCUUUAAAGAACGGUUAUUUUAAAGGCUCUAGGACCGACUUCUUGGAAAUAUCCCCUUAGCUCGGCAUCAACAUAGAAAUCUCCGCCAGAGCAGAGGCUGAGGCACUUGGGAGGCUGUGGCACACUCAAGAAACGUACGGGGUCCAGUGUGGAUGGAGCCAGGGUGCCAGGGGUGGGGGUGGGGGGUUGAUGAGUCAGGGAGCUGGGAGCAAGACUGGGACCUUGUCACAAAGGGACAUAUUUGCCUCAUCUAGUAAUACUGUGCAAAAUGAAAAUCCUUCCAUCAGCUUUCCCCUGCUCAGUAAGAAAAAGGGUUAAGCAGGCUUGAAAAAUCCCAUGCCUGUUUGAAUGAUUACUGCCAUGGCAACCCUGCAGCAGCCAGCACUUGUCAAGGCCUCUUCUUUGGAUACAAUAAUAAAUAGUGAUAAAACGUUACCCCAAGGCUUUAUAUUUUUGCCAUCAGUUAAAAUUCUGUUCUUGGCUGUGGUGAGGACUUCUUCAAAUCAGAAGGAAACAAAAGAAAAAGAAAAAGUGUGUUUUAAAUAAUGUGCUAGAAAUACUUCAUGCAUGUGCUUUAAGAAUUUGAAGCCCUAACAUUUCAGGCACUUGAAAAGGCCAAAAACCUUACCAAGGAGGA